rnacentral:rRNA from 1 species
GAUGAACGCUGGCGGCGUGCCUAAUACAUGCAAGUCGAGCGAACGGACGCUAAUUUUGCUUUUCUCGUGUUAGCGACGGACGGGUGAGUAACAGGUGGAUAACCUACCUAUAAGACUUGGAUAACUGCGAGAAACCGGAGCUAAUACCGGAUAAUAUUUUGAACGUCAUGGUUCAAAAGUAAAAUACGUUCUUGCUGUCACUUCUAGCUGUAUCCGUGCUGCAUUAGUUAGUUGGUAAGGUAACGGCUUACCAAGGCAACGAUGCAUAGCCGACCUGGCAGGGGGAAGGGCGACUGUGAGACUGGACCGCGAUCCAGACUCCUACGGGAGGCAGCAGUAGCGACGCUACCGAGAUGGGCGGAAGCCUGACGGAGCAACGCCGCGUGAGUGAUGAAGGUCUUCGUAUCGUAAAACUCUGUUAGUAGGGAAGAACAUUUGUGUAAGUGACUGUGCACAUCUUGACGGUACCUAAACAGAAAGCCACGGCUAACUACGUG